rnacentral:misc_RNA from 1 species
UGUAGCAUAAAGGGUUAUGCUGUGGCUUGCUGUUUUCCCUAUUUAUGACUGGCUUAACAAAGUAAAGCACUUUCUAUUUCAUAUGGGAUCCCUUUCCAUGACUUUCUAUUUCAUAUGGGAUUAACCCCUUUCCAUGCAAAAAUAUGAGUGCAUCUUCUGUUGCAUUAUAGGCCAUGUGUUGUCGAAGUCCAGAAUUAACAUAUGUAUUUCAUUAGUAUUUAUGUGUUUUCCUAUUCCUAUGCCUUUAUUAAAGGAUAUAUUUUCUUAUUGCAUCAUUCAUAGUUUG